rnacentral:rRNA from 1 species
GACGAACGCUGGCGGCGUGCUUAACACAUGCAAGUCGAACGGAAAGGCCCUGCUUUUGUGGGGUGCUCGAGUGGCGAACGGGUGAGUAACACGUGAGUAACCUGCCCUUGACUUUGGGAUAACUUCAGGAAACUGGGGCUAAUACCGGAUAGGAGCUCCUGCUGCAUGGUGGGGGUUGGAAAGUUUCGGCGGUUGGGGAUGGACUCGCGGCUUAUCAGCUUGUUGGUGGGGUAGUGGCUUACCAAGGCUUUGACGGGUAGCCGGCCUGAGAGGGUGACCGGCGACAUUGGGACUGAGAUACGGCCCAGACUCCUACGGGAGGCAGCAGUGGGGAAUAUUGCACAAUGGUAGGAAGCCUGAGGCAGCAACGCCGCGUUCGUGAUGACGGCCUUCGGGGUGUAAACCGCUUCCGCCUGUGACGAAGCGUGAGUGACGGUAAUGGGUAAAGAAGCACCGGCUAACUACGUG